UACGAAGGGGGCUAGCGUUGCUCGGAAUCACUGGGCGUAAAGCGUGCGCAGGCGGUUUUGUAAGCCAGAUGUGAAAUCCCCGGGCUCAACCUGGGAAUGGCAUUUGGGACUGCAAGGCUUGAGUUUGGCAGAGGAGACUGGAAUUCCUGGUGUAGCAGUGAAAUGCGUAGAUAUCAGGAGGAAUACCGAUGGCGAAGGCAGGUCUCUGGGCUAUAACUGACGCUCAUGCACGAAAGCGUGGGGAGCAAACAGG
rnacentral:rRNA from 1 species